UUUUCUGUAUGCUGUAAAUCAUGUGAUCAAAAUAUUGGUAUUUGUAAAUGACACAGAAUUGGAAAAGACAUGGGGCCUGUUGCACAAAAGUAGAAUUAAGACAUCCGGGAUAAAUGACUCAGCUGAGCUCAAUGAAGCCAAAACAUGUGCGUCCAGGCUUAAUUGGUUGCACAAAGACCAAGCCAGGAUGAGCAGACACGGAUUCAUUAAGCCAGGUGAAACCAAUCCUGGAUAGGUGCACGCUCACGGCUCACUCAAAUAGACCCCGCCACAGAUUAACUGAUUUACCAUGGCAACUAGAGCCGCGUACUUUUCCCCGUCGGAAGCACAAAUCCUCAUGGAGGCAUACGAGGAGGUAAAAGAUAUAAUUAAGAAGAAAGGCAACACCGCCACAGUGAUAAAGCAAAGAGAAAAAGCGUGGCAAAGUAUUGCAGACCGCCUGAAUGCGUAAGUAGUGCACAAUUACACAAUUACAAUUCAAAUAUUUAAUUCACAUCUCCAAAAAUGCAGUUGUACUGUAAUUAUGAAACGGUUAAAUUUUUAAUUGAAAUGCACUGCAGAUAUGAGUGAAAUUGUGUAAAGUAACUCCAUCACACUGUAUAAAGCUAUGAUAGAUUUUUUUGAUAUUUUUACUGAAAACAAGACAAAAAUACCAAGUAAUUUUUUGCAGUGUGACUCCAUUAAAUGUGUGUGUGUGUGUGUGUGUGUGUGUGUGUGUGUGUGUGUGUGUGUGUGUGUGUGUGUGUGUGUAGAUUAAACAUGAACGGGCCAAAACGGACAUGGCAGCAGGUCAAAAUCAAAUACAAGAACAUUCUGCAGAAUGGUAUGGUCCCUGACUAAUAUUUAACAAAGCACAAGCAUAUAUUGUACCCAGAAGGUGCCUGCUCACACAUUGUCUGUACUGUUUUAGCAGUGAAAAAGAAUACCCACAGACAAGGCUCGGGUGGUGGGUCACCAAAGGCUGACCUUACCCCAGCAGAGGACAUGGCCUUGGAGCUAAAUAAAGGCAGGCCCGUCUUAGAGGGGAUCCCUGGGGGGAAAGAGACGAGCAUAGGUUCCUCCCAAGAUGCCACCCGCUUCAUUCAAGUGUCUGGCAGCACUGUGUUCCUGUUAGAGCCACCAGCACAAGCACCAGACGAUGCUGAUCCAGGUGAAGGCCCCAGUGCAGCAGCAACAGCACAUGAUGGAGACGAUGAUGAGGAGGAGACCAUCUCUCUGGAUUCCAGAAGGCAUGAGGACCCAGAUGCUAUACAGUGGGAAAACCAGCCUGGCAACAUAGUGCGUAUUAAUAAAAGGACACCACAUCCUGCCAAAUUCCAGCUGCGCUAAUUGUAUUGUGUUCACAGAGCUCACAAGCUAUCAGAAAGUUGUAUGGCAACCACCUCCGGCGCCAAAUAGAACUGGCAGACAUAGACAUUCAGUACAAGAAGAAAAAGAUGGAAAAUCUUGCACUGGAGUCCGAAAUAAAAAAGAGGACAAUUAGGAAACUGGACCUUGAAAUAAAAAACUUGAGAGGGAGGUGAGAUAUGCCUUCAAUGUACACUGUAUGCUAACUGUAACACAAAUGUAUUAAUCAUUAUUUUUCUUUCCUCCCCCAGCUCCAAGAAGAUGACACAGCUCAAAAUAAAAAUUAGGUAUAUUCUCGUAAAGUCAAGUGAGCCAUGACAUAUGAGCUCUUAUUGUGAGCACACAGGACGGUGGCAUCUUUCUAAGGUUUUUUUUAUUUUCCCAGCAAUCAGUACAACCAAGUCAUCGUUAUAAGGCAUCGCCCUCUUUUGCCCACCCCCCCAGCACC
ensembl:lncRNA